rnacentral:pre_miRNA from 1 species
AAAGUUAUAGGCCUUCUCUUCCCAGUUCUUCCAGAGUCAGGAAAAGCUGGGUUGAGAAGGUGAAAAAAAAAAAGU